ensembl:misc_RNA
AUUAUUUUACCGUAAAUCUUUGAAACGCUGGAACUAAUUACGGAGAGGAUAUGUCUCAAUUUGUUCCGCGUUAGUGCCGCGCCGGGACGCAGCGCACCGAGCAGGGGAAAUUGAUGAGCCCAACCCGAGCCCACCCCGCCGGGACUGCCGCCCGGCCCUGACCCCGCGUUCAACCCCGCCGAAC